AGUUUAACACCACCACCUCCGAUUUUGACGAAACUAGGCUCAAUCAACACGUUUUUUUUUUAAAAGAAACAACUUUUUCCUCUAACAAAAUCGUCGCUCUCUACUACGAAGCGAGAUAUUAAUAGACAAAUCUGAGCGCGUGUUAGGUUAGAAAAUCUGUCAUACCAUCUAUCUCUAACUAUGAGACUGGAGGGCUUUGCCCCGCAUCGCGGCGGGAUGGGAGUCGCAGUCUCACGUGGUUAAGCUAAAGAGUGAAUUUCUCACAAAAGACUGUAGCUCCCACCCCGCCGCGGUGCGGGAGGUCUGGGGGGCGAAGCCCCCCAGUCACAUAGCUAGAAAAAUUAAAGAAGCUUUAAACCCAUGCAAAAGAAAUAAUACACUCAAUAGAAACACAAUUUUUUUUUGGUUAGUUUUUAUAGGGGGUGUGGGGGCAGCCCCCCGCUAGUCGUUCGAGAUUGCAGUACUUACUAACGAAAGACUGUCGUAUCAUUUUCGGAGUGACAGACUUCUUAACCUAGUGAGCUCUUAACUUUAACGCUAAAUAUCUCGCUUCGCGGAAGAGAGCGACGAUUUUGUUAGAGGAAAAAGUUGUUUCUUUUUAAAAAAAACGCGUCGAUUGAGCCUAGUUUCGUCAAAAUCGGAGGUGGUGGUGCUAAACUUCAUAAUUACCGGCCGAUGUCUACACAUACGUUUUAUUAUAUUACACUAAUAUAUAAAAGUGUUUGUAUAUAUCAAUAAUGCCGGUGCCCUGUUGUAUUAAUAGUUGUAAAAAUAUCUGGAAAAAGAAUAGUGAAAUAAAAUUUCAUAGUUAAUCAAAACAAUGGCAUUAUUGAUGAAAAACAAAAGAAAUUAAUAUUACCUCAUGAAGGAGAAGAUCAAUCAUCAUCACUUGAUACAGAACAAAAUCUUCUGAUAUUAUUUAAAGAAAAACAAGAUUUGCUGACAUCUAAUAAAGGACAUCAUUAUUUGACAUCUUCUAAUGAAGAAGACAAUCAAUUUACAUUACCAAAUAAAGAACAAGUGGUAAAUGAAUAUAAUAAUAAUGGGAUAACUGUGGCGAUAUCAAAAUGUUCAAAAUGUGCAAAUUAUAAUCAAACAUUAAUGGAAAUUGAAAAACUGAAAAAGAUAAUAGAGGAUUUCAAAAACAUAGAAGAAAAGCGACUUAAUCAGCAAGCAAACAUGUUGCAUACCAUUAUAAAUAAUAAAGAAGUUAUAUGGAAGAAAAAAUUGAAUAUAGUUACAUAUAAAAAUAAAAUCUUAAACAAAAGUAUACAGCGAAAAAAAAGAGAAUUAUAAAUUUGAAAACAGUACUUAAAAUAUUACAGAAGAAAAAUAUAUUGGACAAUGAUGCUACCUUUAAAUUAGAAAAGGAAUUUAGGAAUUUAUUAGUCCCUCUAUUAUAGGAUGAAAGAAACAAAUAAAAAUAAGUUUUCUCAUGGUCGACGUUAUUCCGAGGAGGUAAAACAGUUCGGUGUUACUAUGCAUUACUAUUCCCCUAAAACAUUAUAAACUCAUAAAAAAGUGAACUGGACAAUAUUUAAAUUACCUCACUCAUCAUAUAUAAGAAAUUGGACUUCUGCAGUGGAUGCUCAACCUGGUUUUCAGUCACAAAUCUUAAGCGCUUUAAAAGAACUCAAAGAUGAAGACAAAGAUUGCUGUUUAAUAUUUGAUGCCAUGGCUAUACGUCAACAAUUAUUGUGGAGUAAGCAAGAAUAUUUUUAAGAUUUGUAUGGAAGCUGAAAAACAGUUAGAUUUUGUAACAGAUGGUUACACAGACUUAUGUAUAACAUUUCUAAAUUUAAAAGUUAUAACUACAAUUAAAAAUAAAUUUGCUCUCGAUCCGUCAGUGUUCCCAAAUUUACAAUGUCAUAAUGUCAGUGUUGGAUAUAUCACAUAAAAUUCGGCUUAUUACUGUAAUUACUUCUAAAUAUAUUAAAAUAAGACUUCA